AGCUCACUACAGGUGACCUCCAGACACUCUUGACUUCAUCUUCUUACCUUCCCCUUGAGGCUGAAUCUCUAUGUCAGAGAUCAUGAAGAUUGGGGUUGGAAAUUGCUUGUCCCUGCUUGUCCACGUGCUUGGUCACAGAACUGUCCUGGGAAAUACCCUGAUGAAUUAUUUCAAAGGCACCCAAAGUGUCCUAACUUGAUGGUAGCAGGGGAAAAUCAAGGAUCAUCUCAGUGUGACUGAAUGAAAAGCAGUAUCUGGAUCUUCAUAAAUGAUGGAAUUGAUUUGCCACACCAAUUGGUAAAGGCCUGAAGCCAUGGUUAACAGGGUUAUUUUGCUGAAAACUUGAAUCAAGAAGCACUGAAAGGGCAAGAGUCCCGACGGCCCUCGAGGCAGAUGAUUGAUUCCUGGGGCUAUGUUGGAAAGUUUGGCAGAGAAGAGACUGAACUAUGCUGUUGGGAAAUCACUUUCACUGCAGUCUGGAAAAUGGAGGGCAGGAGAGGCUACAGCCCUGGGGAAGGGGUGGUGAUGAGUCAGCUAUGAACCAGCCUCUCUGCCGUGCACCGGGAAUGUGCCAGGAGGUUAGGCUUGAGUCUCCAUCCCAUGCCAACUUUGGAGAACAAAGAUUCUUCCCUGUUUGAACUGCAGAUCCCCUCCUUUGGCUUCUUGCUAUCUCUAAAUCUGCAGACCCUGUGCAAAUGGAAUCCGCUGAGAAGGCUUUGACUAUAUAGGGUGCUGGCAGAUGCUCACACUUUCUUAUUUAGGCAAAUUGGACAAUCACAGAAAUGCAAAAAUGGGAAAGAUAGUAUGGCUUUUGACAAUGUAAGUGUGGAAAAUAAAACUGUGCUGGCUGAAAUGGUUUCUUUCUGUAGGUCUAAUACUUCUUUUAAAAAGUCUGAAAGAGCUCAUAUAUGCAAAAAAAAAAAAAAAAACAUGUAUCUCCACAUUUUUC
rnacentral:lncRNA from 1 species